UACGAAGGGGGCUAGCGUUGCUCGGAAUCACUGGGCGUAAAGGGCGCGUAGGCGGAUCUUUAAGUCGGGGGUGAAAGCCUGUGGCUCAACCACAGAAUUGCCUUCGAUACUGGGGAUCUCGAGACCGGAAGAGGUGAGUGGAAUUGCGAGUGUAGAGGUGAAAUUCGUAGAUAUUCGCAAGAACACCAGUGGCGAAGGCGGCUCACUGGUCCGGUUCUGACGCUGAGGCGCGAAAGCGUGGGGAGCAAACAGG
rnacentral:rRNA from 1 species